rnacentral:rRNA from 1 species
GAUGAACGCUGGCGGUAUGCUUAACACAUGCAAGUCGAACGGUCACUUCGGUGAUAGUGGCGGACGGGUGAGUAACGCGUGAGAAUCUGUCUUCAGGUCGGGGACAACAGUUAGAAAUGACUGCUAAUACCGGAUGUGCCUUUGGGUGAAAGAUUUAUUGCCUGAAAAAGAGCUCGCGUCAGAUUAGCUAGUAGGUGGUGUAAGAGACUACCUAGGCUCCGAUCUGUAGCUGGUCUGAGAGGACGAUCAGCCACACUGGAACUGAGACACGGUCCAGACUCCUACGGGAGGCAGCAGUGGGGAAUGUUCCGCAAUGGGCGAAAGCCUGACGGAGCAAUACCGCGUGAGGGACGAAGGCUUUUGGGUCGUAAACCUCUUUUCUCAAGGAAGAUGAUGACGGUACUUGAGGAAUAAGCAUCGGCUAACUCCGUG